UUUUAUAAUCCUAUUUAUUUUCAAAGUUUUUAAAUGCAACGAAAAUGAAAGACCCGCUGCCUUUGGAAUAACGUAGACCAACUUUGCAAGUCUUUGACUGACUGAAUUGAUUUCGAUAAAAGCAUUCUUCAUCUGGUCAGAUCAUGUCACGGGCUUUUCAAUUUCCAGCUAAGCUAGCAGGUAAUAAUAACACAACCAAAUUAU
rnacentral:lncRNA from 1 species